rnacentral:rRNA from 1 species
GACGAACGCUGGCGGCGUGCCUAAUACAUGCAAGUCGAACGCAGUGGGGACGGGUGAGUAACACGUGGGUAACCUCCCAUCAGAUGGGAUAACACUUGGAAAUAGGUGCUAAACCGAUACUGAUGUAUGGACCCGCGGUGCAUUAGCUAGUUGGUGAGGUAAAGGCUCACCAAGGCCACGAUGCAGAGCCGGGCUGAGAGGGGGAUCGGCCACACUGGGACUGAGACACGGCCCAGACUCCUACGGGAGGCAGCGGUGGGGAAUCUUCGACAAUGGACGAAAGUCUGAUCGAGCAACGCCGCGUGAGUGAAGAAGGCUUUCGGAUCGUAAAACUCUGUUGUUAGAGAAGCGGUAUCUGACGAGAAAGCCACGGCUAACUACGUGCCAGCAGCCGCGGUAAUUC